rnacentral:rRNA from 1 species
UACGUAGGGGGCAAGCGUUGUCCGGAUUUAUUGGGCGUAAAGAGCGUGUAGGCGGUUCGGUAGGUCCGUUGUGAAAACUCGAGGCUCAACCUCGAGACGCCGAUGGAAACCAUCGAACUAGAGUCCGGAAGAGGAGAGUGGAAUUCCGUGGUGUAGCGGUGAAAUGCGCAGAUAUCAGGAAGAACACCCGUGGCUAAGGCGGCUCUCUAGUACGGUACUGACGCUGAGACGCGAAAGCGUGGGGAGCGAAACAGG